GGAUAAACGCUGAAGGCAUCUAAGCGUGAAACCGACUCCAAGAUGAGAUUUCCCAUUCACUUGAUGAAGUAAGACCCCUCGAAGACUACGAGGUUGAUAGGUCAGAGAUGUACGCAUAGUGAUAUGUUAAGUUGACUGAUACUAAUAGGUCGAGGAUUUUAUCAUA
rnacentral:rRNA from 1 species